rnacentral:lncRNA from 1 species
UGUAUGUUGGACUUUAGAACAUUGUGUAUGGAACUUGAGCUUUGAAUUAGGCUACAUUCCAAUGCUCUUCUAUCUAGCAGCCUAACUCUGCUAUUAGAGUUCAACUUAUCAAGAACAAGAAGAAAAUUAUCUCUUUUGUUCCCAUUUUACCAAUGAUGGUUGCUUCAACUACAUACUGUAACUUUUAAUAUAUUUUUUUUGUAUUGGAAAGAGUAUUUAGAUAAUGUUGGGUUUUUUUUUUUUUAAAUCUAUAAUCUUUAAUUAUUUUUGUGUCACGACGACAUUUUGAGCCCAGGAUUUGGGUGAAAGGGUCAUGCUGUUGGUGAUAUUCCUACAAUUAGGGUCAAUGUGGUUAAAGUUUUUGGUGUUUCUCUUUUGGCUCUCU